ensembl:lncRNA
AUUUUAUACCAGCUUAGUUAGAAAAAGUAAUCAAAGAAGAUCUUUUGAUGAUGUGCAACUAAAUUUUGAAGGUACCAGCAAACUUUUCACACUCAGCCCAAAGACAACAACAUGUAGGCCUACGCUUUCGCACCUCUCACAUGUGCAUAAUUUCCGCAUCAUGCAGAAGCUGACAUAAACCAAGCAGGUCUGUUGUCAGAGAUUUACAAGAUCAUUCAACCUCAAACCUAUUUUAGAAAUUAGGUUGUUUUAUUAAUUUUUUGACAAAAGAAAUCUUUGAAAACUUCUGUGUUUCUGCCUCCUUAUUCUUCUGAAUCCAAUUGUGCAGAUCUUUCCCUGGAGAUCUGCAUGCACACAAACUAUCCUAACCAUCCUAAAAUCAACAGCACACUGUGAGGUUUUUAUUCAAGCAGCAUACUGUAUGCUUCCUACAGAGGGUUAACGCUCCCGCUGAACCGGAUGUGAUUCCUCUCUGUUUCACUGUUGUCAUUGCACGGCCAAUGGCGGACGCUACCUGAGCAUUUAUCUGAAAAACGUAGGUUACGCACAAAAAUACUUUUAAUAUCGAUCGGCCAUUCAAAGCGUUUAGAUCGCACGUGUGUUUUGGCCCGUCAGCAUGGAUGUGAAUCUGACCAUCUCUCUGAUGCGGGGCCAGAUGGGCGCUGUUAUCGAGAAAGCCGUGAACGUCGCGGUGGAGACCGUGUUAGGAGAGAUGAUCCGGGUGGUCGGGCUCAAAUUUGAGGAGAUCAAACGUGACAUGACAGCUAAAGAGAAGGAGAAUGAGAACAUCAGGAGGAUGUUGGAGGCGUCCCGCUGUCAGAUGAAAACCAUGCGCAAGUACAUCAGCGUCCUAUCUGCUGAAGAGCCCAGCCGUAGACUGUAUCAGGGAGAUGGAGACAGGGCAACAACAUCCACAGGGAUGCACUGCAGAAGAGGGCCGAUGAGCAACCCCCCAAACCCCUGUCCCAGACCCAGAGUCUCUGAGCCAGCCCCUGUAACGUUAGCUGGACCCUCAUGGGUGAGACAGCAGAUGCACAUGUCCAAAGAAACAUUAAGAAGUGAGAAUCACAUUCCUGAGGUCGACAUUGAAGAGACCCAUGGGUCAACAAUUCAUAAAGUUGAGAACUCAAGCUCUCAUCUGGUGGACAGUCAGGUGCUUCUGUCUGAGACCAGUGAUCCAAUCUGGGGUCAGAACCCUCUCGCCUCUGCAGAGACUGGACACACAGACAUGCCGGACAGCGGCGUCCUCUCUGCACCCAUGAUGGCAGAUGAAUGUGUGUCAUCCCAAAUGACAAACACAUUGACCUUUGGAGCACCAUCACUUAAAAUCAAACAGGAGGAGGCGGAGGUUGAAAUCGUCUGUGUGAAAGAUGAACCCGCAGAAGCUGGCAGCAUACCUAGAUUUGAAUAUUCCAACGCUGAACUUCACCAGCCGACGGGAGAACCAGAGCUCGGGGUCUCACUAGAUCUACCCGCAUCAUUUCAAGCUCUUCAGAGUCCUAGCACUUCAGCAGACCUUGCAAUCCCAGCAUUCAUCAGUGUGGACCCAACUACCUAUGACGACUCCCAGCUGUCAGUGGCAGGGGUCCAAAAGCAGGUGCGUCCGAGACGUAAGGACCUUAAUCUGUAUGAAGAAUACAAACUCAGCCGGACUCUGAGAGGCCGCAACACGAACCGAGGCCGUAGUACAAAUCGACGGCGUGAGCUGGAGCAGACUCUACCGCAGGCUCUACUUGCAGACUUGGUAAGAGAACAAAAGAAAAAGACUCGUCUUCGAGUGGCCCGCUGGCGUGCCAAACGCACAUUCCCAGCCUGUCUUCUGGCCUCGCAGGCUGCGCAGUUUAGCGUCGCUCCUGUGCAGAGUUCACCUGCCCAGCGUGGAGGCUUGAUCUCCACCCGCAGGCGAGGCGGAGCGAUGGCGCAGCGCGGUGGGCUUGGAUUGAGAAGGGGACUGUCAGAGACUGGCACUUAUAAUGUGCUGCUGCAGCUGGGGCCCAGUCCUACUCAAUCAGCUUCAACGCGGGGCAUGAAUGAGGGUCUGAUGCCGUCUGGACCCCCAGCGCUAUCACAGCACAGAACCACUGCACCGAGAUCAACUUAUCAAUGA